UUUCCUGCUCAAAUUAGGGGUUUGGCAUGAUUUUAUUUGCUUUUUUAUUUUUUUAACCUUCUGCUGUAAUUUACUUUCAAAUCACUAUUGACUCUGGAAUAGCUUUGUAUUUGUCCUGUCGCUAGGAAGAAUCAAUGACCAAACCGAAAGAUUUUUUAGACAUUACUUUCGGCUUCCUACAAAAGAGAAAGUUACCCUAAAUUUGUGCCUGCUAUAACUAUCGUGCUUAGAAGCUCUGUUGUAUUCGUUUGCUGCAUAAUCGCUGGGUUUUUCUUCAACUUUCUAAUUUCAAAUGCUUUUUCUUUGUCGUCUAAAAAGUAUUGGGAGUGGAGCAGAAUUUAAUAUUUUUUACUUUUUCAAUUUUAGGACCAAUUGUGAGUUAAUUGAAUUGAUAAUGGUGGAUAAUUAGUGUGCGGCAAAACUGGAUUCCCCUGUCCCUGUGAGCCUGUACUAGGAAAAAAAAAAUAGGGAAAAAGGGGUUCUUUCUCUUAGUGACUUAACCCUAAUCAAUAUGGCAUUGACAUGCUUUUGUUUGGUCUGACAUGCGGAUGUAUGGUUACAAACUGAAUUUAAAGUUCUUUUACUUCAUCUUUUUUCACGUAAGUGGCCUGCUAGGUUUACGCGAUUCCAAAUAUGAUGAAAUUGAGCUGAUAAUGGUUGAUAAUUGAAGUAGUUUGCACUAACAGGGGAUUCCCUGUAGCUGCAACAUCAGUGCUGUAUAUGUGAUUGGAAACAUUGUAAAUUAGAGAAAUCUGAUAUUUUAUUCAUCAUCUUGACUUAUCUAAGCUGCUUAUAUGCAUUGAUUUCUGAUGUUAAAACUUUUCCUCUAAUUUUUUAUUUUAUGUUGGUCAUUUUCUGAUUCUAACUGUUCCUGUAUUUGUCAUGAACCAGUUCAUUAAGUAUCUAUGUAUAUGCAUGGGCAACAUUUAUCCACUAUCCAAUUUGCACAUUUGCUGGGUUGAGAAGCUAGGCCCUUUGCUUAGGCUAAUUUCAAUCUUGGGGAUGUAUACUGUCUUCUGCUUCCUGAUUGAAUUGUUGUCUUUCACUUUUUACCCAUGCUUUAAUUUUUUUGUUACCUUACAAUUACAAUGAUAUUGCUGCAUACGCCCCAAUGUGUAAGGUUGACGCAGCAGUUCUCCAGUGCCAGAAUCAAAAACUUGUCCAGCAAUUAGAUAUUCAGAAACAUGAGUUGCAUGAUCUUGAAACCAAAAUUAAAGAUUUAAAAGACAAGCAAACCUCUUAUGAUGAUAUGUUGAUAACUGUGAAUCAACUUUGGAAUCAGAAUACGAGAUGGACUGGACCAAAAUGCUUUAGAAAUCUUGGACCAUGCAAAUGAUUCUUGAGGUUUGAUCAGAAGUUUAAUUGUUAGCAAACCUCUUAUGAUGAUAUGUUGAUAACUGUGAAUCAACUUUGGAAUCAGUUGGUUGAUGAUUUGAUCCUGGUCAGAAUACGAGAUGGACUGGACCGAAAUGCUUUAGAAAUCUUGGACCAUGCAAAUUAUUCUUGAGACAACAUUAUGCAGCUUUCUAAGAUUGAUGAUAUGAUGAGAGAGGAGGCUAAAACUUUGUGUGAGGAGAGCUGGAAGAAAUGAUGGCUAAACUUGAAGAAAGCAAAAGAAAACCAGUCAAUCUGAAAAUGCAGAAAAAUAUAGCAUCUGGGAUGCGUGCAUCAACUCCAGUUGCAGCAAAUGGCAACUUGUCACCAGAAAAGACUUCAGAUAAGACAAUGGGGUUGUGGGAGAUAAAGGAUUCGAUUGAGGAGACAAAGAUAGCGGCAGCAGAUUGACUUUCUAAACUUCAAGAUGCACAGGAACAGAACCUACUCGAUUCAAAGCAACUGAAGGAUCUUCAGGUUUGCUUGGAUUAUUGACCUCUGAAAGUUGAUUUUCUUAUUUGUUGAAAUACAUUUUUGAAUGAUGCUAUGUGUUCUAGUAAUUUAAUUUAUAAGAUUUUAUUCUCUUAGAAUGAACUGAAGGAUGACAAAUUCAUACAAUCCUCUCGGCUGUACACUUUGUUAAAUGAUCAGCUCCAGCAUUGGAAUGCUGAAAUGGAAAAAUAGAAAGCACUGACCGAUGCUUUGCGGGUUAAACUGCUUGUUUUACCUUUUCACAUGUUUCAAAUGUUCGAGUACUUUUUGGUCUGUUUUGAAAGUAUAAUUUCAGACUGACAGGUUUCUUGUCAUGAGGAGGGAGAAGGAACUGAAUAUAAAAGUUGAGUCAGCAGAUGCUGCUAGGAAUACAAUUGAUAAUGCUGAUUCUAGAAUCAAAGAGCUCGAGCUGCAGCUCCAGAAGUGUAUCAUAGAAAGAAAUGAUCUUGAGAUUAAAAUGGAAGAAGCUACCCAAGAUGCCAGAAGAAACGAUAUUAAAGAAGAAUUUCAGUGUCAUGGCAUCAGCUCUGUCCAAGGAAAUAGGAAUGAUGGAAGCUCAGUUGAAUCGCUGGAAGGAGACAGCGCACAAAGUGAUUUCCUUGCAUGCAGAAGCCCAGGCACUAAAAGCUUUGUUAAGUGAUAAGCUUUUUAUCUUGUCCUUAAUGGUUCUUUUGGGGGGAAUAAAAUUUGAAAGUUGUGAUACAUAGAUAAAAUGUCAGUUCAUUCUCUAAUCAUUCAACUUUUGUCAAAAGUUUUCCAAUAGACAAACCAACAAAAGCACUUGGCAGAAGAUUGUGCUGAAUAGAUUGUUGAAAUCAAAUCUCUCAAUGAUUUGAUUGAGAAAUUGCAGAAGGAAAAAUUGGAGCUGCAAAUCUUCUUGGACAUGUAUGGCCAAGAAGGCUAUGAUAGUAGAGAUGUGAUGGAAAUAAGAGAAUCAGAAAAUAAAGCUCAUUCACAAGCUGAAGUCUUGAAAAAUGCUCUGGAUUAACAUAGUCUAGAACUGAGUGAAAGCUGCUAAUCAGGCUGAGGUUGCUUGCGAACAAAGGCUUUUGCUGAAGCUGAAAUAGCUGAGUUAAGAGCUAAACUGGACGCUUCUAAGAGGAUGUUUUGAUGCUCAUAGAGGCUAUUAAAAGAAAAUAUUGAGAGUCAAAGACAUACAUUUCUGAAAUUAAGACCAUUGCCCAUACAAAGAUACGCAGACACAGAACCAGCAUUUGUUGCAGCAGAUGGCUGAGAAAGAUGACUACAAUAUUAAGCUUGUCUCUGAGAGUGUAAAGACAAAGCAGGCACAUAGUUUCUUUCUCUCUGACAAGCAGACAUUAGCAAGGCAACUUUAGUAGGCCAAUUCAUCAAUUGAAUCCAUGAAAAUGAGGAUUGCACAGAGUGAAGAGCCGGUAAAAUUAGUUAGUACUCUGCUACUAAAACUUGUUUCACAAAUUUACCUUCUAGAUGGAUUUACUUGUUUGUAUUUUUUUAUCAACUUAUAGUUAAACACUUGUAGAUGAAAGUUUGUCUGAUAGAUGCUAUUAAAUUCACUCAAGCGGACAAGAUAUUGUUUUUUAUUAGCCUUAAACUGCAAAGUGGGAGUUGGCAGAUACUGAGAAGGAGUUGAAGUGCCUUAAAUCUACUGCAACAUCUUAUGAGAAGGAUUAUGAGCAGCUCCAGUGGAAGGUGGAUGAGUUCCAAGUGAAGUUGGAUAAGGAACGGUUGUAAUUGUGACAUGCUAUCAUCUAUUUUGCAAUCCAUGUAUACAGAGAAAUUUAGAGAUACGCCAUAGGAAGUGCCCGGCUGUGGAGCUGCAUUUUGUCAGAAUGAUGUUCGGUUUGUGAAAAUAUGAAAGAGUUAUCCCAUGGUUUGUACUUUUGUGAUUUAGGUUGGUCGAAGUUAGCAUCUGAAAAUCAAGGAUGGCUCCAUAGUUAUGGAAAUAAUUUUUUUAUGUAAUUAUUUAAUUGUAAAAGGAAAUUGAACGAGGUAAAUCUUCAGAAUUUUGUUUCAUUUGGAUGUUUGACCACGUGGUUAUCUAGUUU